AGGGUUUGAUCAUGGCUCAGAACGUACGCUGGCGGCACGCCUAACACAUGCAAGUCGAACGCAGUAGCAAUACUGAGUGGCAGACGGGUGAGUAACAUGUGGGAAUCUGCCUUGUGGUUCAGGACAACAUUGGGAAACCGAUGCUAAUACCGGAUAAGUCUUUACGGAGAAAGCUUUAUGCACCAUUGGAUGAGCCCGCACUUGAUUAGUUUGUUGGUGGGGUAAUGGCCUACCAAGACUGUGAUCAAUAGCUGAUUUGAGAGGAUGAUCAGCCACAUUGGGACUGAGACACGGCCCAAACUCCUACGGGAGGCAGCAGUGGGGAAUCUUGCACAAUGGAGGAAACUCUGAUGCAGCGAUGCCGCGUGAGUGAAGAAGGCCCUUGGGUUGUAAAGCUCUUUCGUCGGGGAAGAAAAUGACUGUACCCGAAUAAGAAGGUCCGGCUAACUUCGUGCCAGCAGCCGCGGUAAUACGAAGGGACCUAGCGUAGUUCGGAAUUACUGGGCUUAAAGAGUUCGUAGGUGGUUGAAAAAGUUAGUGGUGAAAUCCCAGAGCUUAACUCUGGAACUGCCAUUAAAACUUUUCAGCUAGAGUAUGAUAGAGGAAAGCAGAAUUUCUAGUGUAGAGGUGAAAUUCGUAGAUAUUAGAAAGAAUACCAAUUGCGAAGGCAGCUUUCUGGAUCAUUACUGACACUGAGGAACGAAAGCAUGGGUAGCGAAGAGGAUUAGAUACCCUCGUAGUCCAUGCCGUAAACGAUGUGUGUUAGACGUUGGAAAUUUAUUUUCAGUGUCGCAGCGAAAGCGAUAAACACACCGCCUGGGGAGUACGACCGCAAGGUUAAAACUCAAAUGAAUUGACGGGGACCCGCACAAGUAGUGGAGCAUGUGGUUUAAUUCGAAGAUACGCGCAGAACCUUACCAACACUUGACAUGUUCGUCGCGACUCUAAGAGAUUAGAGUUUUCGGUUCGGCCGGACGAAACACAGGUGCUGCAUGGCUGUCGUCAGCUCGUGUCGUGAGAUGUUGGGUUAAGUCCCGCAACGAGCGCAACCCUCACUUUUAGUUGCCAUCAUUAAGUUGGGCACUCUGAAAGAACUGCCAGUGAUAAGCUGGAGGAAGGUGGGGAUGACGUCAAGUCCUCAUGGCCCUUACGUGUUGGGCUACACACGUGCUACAAUGGUAUCUACAACAGGAAGCAAGACUGCGAGGUCAAGCAAAUCCUUAAAAGAUACCUCAGUUCGGAUUGCACUCUGCAACUCGAGUGCAUGAAGCUGGAAUUACUAGUAAUCGUGGAUCAGCGUGCCACGGUGAAUGCGUUCCCGGGUCUUGUACACACCGCCCGUCACACCAUGGGAGUUGGUUCUACCUUAAGGCAAGGUUUCAAACCCUUGACCACGGUAUAGUCAGCGACUGGGGUGAAGUCGUAACAAGGUAGCCGUA
rnacentral:rRNA from 1 species